UGUUGAAGUUUGCUUUUCAAAUUUUGGGA
rnacentral:piRNA from 1 species